AAGAACCUGCAUGAGCACUAUGCCAAAAUCCUGUGGGAAACCCUCCCCUUAUCAUAGCAUUCAUUAAGAUACAGUUAAUGUUAUGUGUACUGUACAUGAAGAUUGUUGUCUGAGUGGAGCUUGCUCAGCCACCUUAAUACUAUAGGUUGGGAUAUAUUUGCGGCUGCUUAUUUUCGUGAUGAUAAAAACUAAUAAAAAGGUUCAAUUAAAUUGAGUGAAUUGACCCAUCAUUCUAUUGAUAAAAGUGUCAAGAGGACUUAAGAGAGAAAGAAAGAGAAGAGAGAGCAAGAGUACGGAGAGAGGAGAUCAAGUUAAGAGACCAACUGAUACAUAAUGUGGAGCAAUUAGAGCAAAGAAGAAUAGAACUACAACGAGAAUUGAGACUAAGAAAGAGUUCAUCAUCAUCACUGGAACCAAAAACGAAAAGAAAGAAAAACAAAUAGUAACAAAUUAUAAUUUCAUACUCACUUGUAAAAUAUUAUGUUAAUUACAUGAACAUGAAGUGUAUUUUUGUGACUCGUGAGUCAUGCCAUGUAAAUGCCAUUAUAGGCAUAGAUACUAGAUUGGAGACAAUCUGUGACUACUUUGAUCUUUUAAAUAACAAGUUUCCCAA